GCGAAUCCAGAACAUGACAAGCCACCGGCAGAGUUCUUCGAGCAGAUCGACAAGAGACGCGUCGCGGCGGAGCGCGCGGGGUCUUACCCGGUCGAGCUCCCGAAGAAGGGAGAGGCCGCCGACGGCGAAGUAGGAGAGGGUGAGGUGGUUGACCUCCUGGGAGGCGUAUUCGUCGGGGAGCUCCGUGGCCAUGGCCUCGAAGAACGCCACGUGGUGCAGGCGCUCGAAAUCGCGCUUCCCCAUCUCCGGCGGUCGGCAGCCGAGAGCCCCUGGUCGCCGGCGGCGUCAGCGCCGCCGCGGUGCGCCACGAUCUGAGAAAGCCACGCGGACGCAACCAAUCGCCCAG
rnacentral:misc_RNA from 1 species